AGCAUUCAUAUGGUUUCCUGUUCGGCGGAUUGGUGUUCUGCAGUAGCUGUGCCUGUGUCUCUGGAAGGGAAGAUCUACUAAACGGCUGUUAACCCUUUUAUGCCUGGGGUUGCCUUUACACCCUUCACACCUGAACAUUUAUUAUUUAUGCUGCCACUCCAUGAUUUCAAUAAAAAGGAAAACUACCUGACAUCCCAACUGGCAGCAAUCCACCUUAUUCCAGUAUACUGGAAACAGGAAAAGAUCCCCUCUAUUAGGGAAUGGACCAACAGGGUAGAAAGUAUUAAACAGAUGGAAAGUAUAACAUAUGCCUUAUCAAAAAAUGACAUAACCUUCACCCAAACAUGGAAACUCUG